AUCACUCAAGUGUUUAAGGUGACACUCCACUCUCUAUUGUUCACAAGUUACAUGAAACAAAAUUGCCCUUCAUCUCAAACAAUCAACAUCUUUACAUGCAAAUGCCAUCAAAAGGACUUUUNCAAGGCUUGUAAUGAGGUUGGGCCAACAAGAAAAAUUGGUUUUUCUAGAAUGCAAAAUCCUUGAGUCAAGAGAGCUAACAAAAUAUUCAAUACUUAAGCACAACUCUCUCACCAAUGUCUCUCAUUCCCAACUUCUUCCCUUUUCUUUUCUUUUUCAUUGAGCUCAUCUUAAUGCUUUUCUUCUUUUCUUUUCUUUUUCUCAUGAAUUUUUCUCUUUUCACAACAAUUGAGCUCAAUGCCUUUCACUUGCCUUUCACUUGCUUUUUCAAUUUUCCCCCGUACAACCCCAAACUUGAACCUUUUCAUCACAUACAAUUAAGCUCAUCCCAACUCAAGGUAAAGAAUUUCAAAACAAGGGUUCACAUACUGUAUAAGGCUAAGGUUCAAAAAGGGUAUAAUACUUCAAGUAUUUUGGGUGAAAAUUUGGCUAAAGAAGUGUUUUCAAAAAUGGCCUUGAUCAUAUGACAUUCACAUGCAAUUCAAUCAAUCAUCAAGAUUAAGGCAAUAUCAUUCAUGUUUUCCUGUGAACAAUGGAUACAUCAAUAAAAACUCUGGAGCUCAAAAACUCACACACAUGCUUUCUCACACAAAAUUCAUUCAUACACCCUGCCUAGCAUCAUGACCACAAUCAUAAAUUAUCACACAUCUAUUUCACAGAAUAUCAACAUG
rnacentral:lncRNA from 1 species